rfam:Schistosoma rodhaini strain Burundi genome assembly, scaffold: SROB_scaffold0001415
AUCUAGAUGAAGAGUCCCAAAUGAGAUGAAACGCGCAUCCUGGAU